rnacentral:ncRNA from 1 species
ACAAGAGCGGGAUGCCAAGACACGCGGUCCAUAGCCCCGGCCGCCGGGACCGCGCCGAGCCACUGGCGAGACCGACCCGCUAGG